CAGAAACCCAGGCGCUAAAAAAAAGAAUAAUUGAUUUGGAAAAAACAUUAAGGGGCCUGGAAGAUUGCCGUAAAAACGUGGAGAAUUUAGAAAGAAAUAUCGAGGCAAAUGAAAAGGCCCUAACAGACUGCGAUGCAAGUUACGCAAAAUCAAAAGAGGACUUUGGAAUACUUCAGGAAAAGUGCAAACUUGACCUCGACGCAAAAGAUACA